UACGGAGGGUGCAAGCGUUAUCCGGAUUUACUGGGUUUAAAGGGUGUGUAGGCGGACUUUUAAGUCAGCGGUGAAAUCUCCGGGCUCAACCCGGAAACUGCCAUUGAUACUAUUGGUCUUGAAUGUUGUUGAGGUGGGCGGAACGGGUCAUGUAGCGGUGAAAUGCAUAGAUAUGACCCGGAACACCGAUUGCGAAGGCAGCCCACUAAGCAACUAUUGACGCUGAGGCACGAAAGCGUGGGGAUCAAACAGG
rnacentral:rRNA from 1 species